GUCAAGCCUGUCAGCACCCCUGAGGCCAAGCCAGCCAGCACCCCUGAGGCUAAGCCUGUCAGCACCCCUGAGGCCAAGCCUGUCAGCAUUCCUGAGGCCAGGCCUGCCAGCACCUCUGAGGCCAAGCCUGUCAGCACCCCUGAAGCCAAGCUUGCCAGCACCCCUGAGGCCAAGCCUGCCAGCACCCCUGAGUCUUCAGAACCGACUUGACCCCUGGAGUGGUCCCGCAGCAUGGGUGGCAGUUCUGAAUAGUCCUACUUUAAUACACAGACAUGGUGUCCUACGCGUAACCGUCACAAGUGCAUGAGGAGCUAAGGAUGUGGCGGCGAGGUCCGAAAGGGUAAGAGUCUACAGAAUGCUGCUGCAGACCAUGAUAUGCUUGAAAAUUCUCAACAGCUCCACGAUGGGGACGACCUGUCAGAUGCAUUCCAGCAUGACUUUGGUCCAGAUUGUAAAAAGGCCUCCCAGAUCUACUUGAGAAUGAUCCUAUCAACUGGUGUCCUGAUCUAGAUCCAACAGGAUUUUUUACUGUCCAUGGACUGCUGCUGUUACAGUGAUUCUGAAUGCUAGAAAGAUUCUUAGCAGAAGAAAAGACCUAGGAAAGUGCCUUAAGGCUUUUAAGUGGCUAAGCUGUGGCAAAUGCAGAAGACUGGAUCAUAAAUAAGUAACACUGUAAGAACUUAAUGUGUGUCAACAACAUUGCAAGGGAAAUGUUACCUGAUUGCUUAAUGACUGGAGGAAGCAGAAGUGGUACCGCUAUGCAGAACAACGCCAUCUGUGGUGGAACACUUGUUCCUGGAGAUGCCUUAUUUUUCUGGCCAAAGAGGAACUUCAGUUUACCUUCAAACUGCAUUGUCUGCACCACAU